AUACGGAGGGUGCGAGCGUUAAUCGGAAUUACUGGGCGUAAAGCGUACGUAGGCGGUUGGUUAAGUUAGAUGUGAAAGCCCCGGGCUUAACCUGGGAACUGCAUUUAAAACUGGCGAACUAGAGUUGAGUAGGGGGGAGUGGAAUUUCAGGUGUAGCGGUGAAAUGCGUAGAGAUCUGAAGGAACACCAGUGGCGAAGGCGACUCCCUGGACUCGAACUGACGCUGAGGUACGAAAGCGUGGGUAGCAAACGGGAUUAGAAACCCUAGUAGUCC
rnacentral:rRNA from 1 species